AUCCCUGUGAGAAUGCCCUCAAUCCUCUGCCCGAGAACGAGGAGCAGGCAUCAGGCACAACUAACCUCUGCCCAAGACGCCUUGCUAAGCCACACCCCCAAGGGACUUCAGCAGUAAUAAAUAUUAAGCCAUAAGUGAAAACUUGACUUAGUUAGAGUUAAAAGGGCCGGUAAAAUUCGUGCCAGCCACCGCGGUUAUACGAAAGACCCUAGUUGAUAGACACGGCGUAAAGGGUGGUUAAGGAAGACAAGUAAUAAAGCUAAAGACCCUCUAAGCUGUCAUACGCACCCCGAGAGCACGAAACCCAAGCACGAAAGUAGCUUUAAACAUUAUUACCUGACCCCACGAAAGCUAAGAAACAAACUGGGAUUAGAUACCCCACUAUGCUUAGCUAUAAACCUAGAUGUCCCCUUACAUAAACAUCCGCCCGGGUACUACGAGCACAGCUUAAAACCCAAAGGACUUGGCGGUGUCUCAGACCCACCUAGAGGAGCCUGUUCUAGAACCGAUAACCCCCGUUAAACCUCACCACUUCUUGUUUUCCCCGCCUAUAUACCGCCGUCGUCAGCUUACCCUGUGAAGGCUUAAUAGUAAGCAAAAUGGGCCCGCCCAAAAACGUCAGGUCGAGGUGUAGCGUACGAAGUGGGAAGAAAUGGGCUACAUUUUCUAUCCAUAUAGAAUAUUACGAAUGACAUACUGAAAUAAAUGUCUGAAGGUGG
rnacentral:rRNA from 1 species